ACUGAUGCUUAAUUCCUUUUUUUUUUUUUUUAUAAUUUUCACGCGCUUUCACUGUGGCAUGUGUGUGAGUACACUGUGGACUCAAUUUCCCGUGGACUCAAGUGCUCGAUUUGUUGUGUUCUCGCAUGUCUUUUCUUCAUCUUGACUGAAAAAACAGCGUCUGUAAGGCUCGGGUUUGAUGACCCUUUUUCCCAGUUGCAUGCAGGCUUCUAGGCGUGUCGUCCUCUUAUUGAAGUGGCUUUGGUGCUUCAAAGCUUGUGAUAAUGUCUGUUGAUCAUGGCUUGGCUCUUCUUUCAUUUGAGACUCCUCUGCUGCCCCGAGGCUUUCUUCUCUUGCGACGUGGCUCUUUUGUUUGAUGGGAGGGCGGGCAUUCCAUCAAUACUGCAUUUCAUGAUGGUUCAUUAAAUGCACACUCGCUGGACGUGUACUUUCUCUUCUCCUUUUGGUGUUUUGGAGGCUGACUAUUUUUAUCCUGGGUUGCAUUAAGGAGGACGAUUGCCGAUUUUGUUCAUGGUGUGACAUUGAUCGGUUGGUGUCUAACAGCCUAGUUAUAGCUUCCCAGAUCUCUUUCUUCUCCUUUUCCUGUUAUGGUUCUGUUAGGAAUCGACCACAAUUGAGUUUUACUUCUUCUUUGGUUUCAUUGCCAUUUGUAUGUGGGUUUUAUGGUUUUCUCGUGCCUUCUUGUUUGAGCGGCUUCUGACAUUGCUUCAUUCUUUGAUUUCUCUGAGAACCAUUACAACUGAGAAGUCAUUGGUUUGCAGGAGAUUAUAUAAAAUUUUUCAUCCCUUUUUUUUGGUUUUGUUGAUAUUGGCAUGCGAGUUUUUUUUUGUUUUUCCAUGUCCCCUUAUUUGAGUGGCUUCUGACAUUCAUUGGUACUGUGAUUCUUUGAAGGCCAUUACAAUUGAGAGGUCAUUGGUUUGCGAGAGGGUAUAUAUCUUUCCUUCCUUUUAGAAAAAAAGAGACUCUUUUUGAUGCAUUGUUUUUGUUGUUUCACACUGCUUUAGAGUUGGUUUGUUUUCUGCACUUUGAAUCUUUGCUGUUUUUUUUUUUUUUUUUUUUUUGUGGUCGGACAAAAGUUCAGCCUCUACUGAUUCAUCUGUUGUGAUGCUCUCUUAAUUUAUAGGGCCUCUCAUGGCAACAAAAUGAAAAUGACCACCUCAACAGACAAAACAAUGCAACAUCUGAACUAAGGUCGGUGAGAAAAGAAAUUACAGAAUUGAAAUCCGACCUUGCCGGAAUCCAACCAGCGACCUACAGCCCUCCGCUCCACCAACUGAGCUAAGAUCGGUGAUAAAAGCAAGCUUGAUAAAUAUCAGUGACGGAAUUUAAUGAUCGGAGACAUCACAAUUUUGGGCCAUCUGUCAUCUAGGCCAACCCUUUGUGCUCUACCGAAUUAUACUGGAAAAUGGAAUGCAUCUGAUGCGAACAAGCCAUUGGGCCAGUGACCCAAUGGCUCCGCAAUACUGAAAAACCGAGCCUCAUGUAGUUCGAACUUCCAACUUCAGAGACUGUCUUCUCCAGAUGGACCGAACAUGACAAGGCCUCAAAUUCUUAACAAACUGAGUCGAGAACACUAAGAACAAUUGAGUUACGAGCCUUUUGAAGAUUCAUUAACUGAACAAGGCCACAUUGAUCAAUUUAUAUCAUGUUAUCUCAUCUCGAAGACAUCGGCAUAUCUACAUCUAAUUCCAUCUAUCUACACAAUAAAUUAUAUACA